rnacentral:rRNA from 1 species
CAGUCGCCACGGUAAGACAGAGGAUGCAAGCGUUAUCCGGAAUGAUUGGGCGUAAAGCGACUGUAGGAGGCUUUUCAAGUCCGCCGUCAAAUCCCAGGGCUCAACCCUGGACAGGCGGUGGAAACUACCAAGCUGGAGUACGGUAGGGGUAGAGGGAAUUUCCGGUGGAGUGGUAAAAUGCGUUGAGAUCGGAAAGAACACCAACGGCGAAUGCACUCUGCUGGGCCGACACUGACACUGAGAGACGAAAGCUAGGGGAGAAAAUGGGAUUAGAUACCCCCGUAGUCCCUGUCUCUUAUAA